GAUGGUAGUGUAUUGGACUACCAUGGCAGUCACGGGUAACGGGGAAUUAGGGUUCGAUUCCGGAGAGGGAGCCUGAGAAAUGGCUACCACUUCUAAGGAAGGCAGCAGGCGCGUAAAUUACCCAAUCCUGAUUCAGGGAGGUAGUGACAAGAAAUAACAACUCGGGUCCCUCACGGGACUGCGAGAUUGCAAUGAGAACAAUUUAAACCACUUAUCAAGGAACAAUUGGAGGGCAAGUCUGGUGCCAGCAGCCGCGGUAAUA
rnacentral:rRNA from 1 species